CCAAGUGACAUUUUCGUUUCUUAACAAAGGAUAACAGCAACACGAUUUUUUUUUACAUAUGAAGUGCUCUAUUUUUUUAUCAAUACGUGGGAGUCAAUUUCAAGGAAGCAGAUCAUUUUUUUUCCAAGCUUAACCAAGAACAUGUAUGAAAACAAAUAUGGUUAUUAUCCUGGUAUAGCUGCAAAGAUGAAUUUAGACAUUUAUAGGCAGCAACGUGAUCAUGAAAUUUAGGAGAUCAAAGUGUAAUUUUCGUCAGGAACAACAUACGGUUUGGCGCACCGCUUCAAUCUCAUUAUUUUAUUUUAUCGUGUUGUUGAUUCCGGGCUUUCUUUGAAGGGAAGUAAGGUGGAAGAAGAUUAAAUCUUGGCAUAUAAGGUACAGAUACUCAAUUUGGUGACCCUCCAGCUUAGGACUUCUGCUCAGAGGUUUCGGAGAGCUCCAUUGUUCCGGAGCCUGGAUUACCUUGGUACAGAUACUCGAUUUGGUGAUCCUCCAGCUUAGGACCUCUGCUCAGCUGUUUGGAGAGCUCCAUUGUUUCGGAGCCUAGACUAUUUUGGUACAGAUCUUUUGAUAUAGACUUAUGUAUAUGUCCAGGGGUACGGCGGGGCCCUGUCCCGUCAUAUUUCACUUUUAUACUCUUAGAGGUCUGUAGACAUGUGUGGGUUGUAUAUAGGUUUUGGUCAGCUGUGUCUAUAUGGUUUGCUUUGGAUAUCCCCGUGUAUAGUGGCAGCCUUGUCGGCUUGCGUAUUGUGUUAUUGUUAUGUUGUGGUUAUCCGUGACUCAAGGGGAGACAGGUUUAUGAUAUGUGGCGUUGUAAAUCCUUCGUUUGUUC